rnacentral:rRNA from 1 species
GACGAACGCUGGCGGCGUGCUUAACACAUGCAAGUCGAACGGAAAGGCCUCUUUCGGGGGGUACUCGCGUGGCGAACGGGUGAGUAACACGUGAGUAACCUGCCCUUGACUUUGGGUUAACUUCCGGAAACUGGGGCUAAUACCGGAUAGGAGCUCCUGCUGCACGGUGGGGGUUGGAAAGUUUCGGCGGUUGGGGAUGGACUCGCGGCUUAUCAGCUUGUUGGUGGGGGAGUGGCUUACCAAGGCGUUGCCGGGUAGCCGGCCUGUGGGGGUGACCGGCCACAUUGGGACUGAGAUACGGCCCAGACUCCUACGGGAGGCAGCAGUGGGGAAUAUUGCACAAUGGGUGGAAGCCUGAUGCAGCAACGCCGUGUGCGGGAUGACGGCCUUCGGGUUGUAAACCGCUUUCGCUCAUGACGAAGCUUUGUGUGACGGUAGUGGGUAAAGAAGCACCGGCUAACUACGUG